UACGAAGGGGGCUAGCGUUGCUCGGAAUUACUGGGCGUAAAGGGUGUGUAGGCGGAUACUUAAGUCGGGGGUGAAAGCCCAGGGCUCAACCCUGGAAUAGCCUUCGAUACUGGGUAUCUUGAGUUCGGGAGAGGUAAGCGGAACUCCGAGUGUAGAGGUGAAAUUCGUAGAUAUUCGGAAGAACACCAGUGGCGAAGGCGGCUUACUGGCCCGAUACUGACGCUGAAACACGAAAGCGUGGGGAGCAAACAGG
rnacentral:rRNA from 1 species